CUGGGUCCCGUUCACAAACAAAUUCUGAAGCGGUUUGGGAAAGUCAUCUGACCUCGAUCUGACUCUGCAGGUUUGAGCAAAACAAUCAUGUGACUGAACAUAAGACAGCAGUCUCAUAUGUAACCAACAACUCAAAACAAGAUGUCCUCCUAAAGAAUUUAAUGAAGAAGGUGAAGAGGUCCUGGAGCUCCAUCUGGUCCUUGGGGUCCGGGGUUUCCUUGGGGCCCAACAGAGCCAUCUUCUCCCUGGGAGCCUGACCGACCCUGCUGACCUGGAAAACCGAUACCUCCGUCCCCCUGUGACCACAGAGACCAGCAGUAAACCACCACAGGAUAAGGAAGACUGCUGACAGGCUGCUCAACAUGACUUCUGUUUACAUCCAACAGCAAAACACAGAUCCUGGAUCACCUGGAAUUCCUGUCACACCUGAGACCAGCACAGACAACAGGUCCGGGGUUUCCAGAUAAACCUUUCUCUCCUUUCUGUCCUGGAUCUCCUGGAGAGGUUCUGAUUUCACCUGGAGAACCCUUUUCCCCUGAAUGAACCAACAGACAGACAGAUAGACAGAGUGGUUGUUCAAGCAUCCCAUCAUCCAAGUCCAAAACACCUUUCGGUCCUGUGACUCCUCGACGUCCGUCUAUCCCCUGAAAACCUGGUGGUCCCGGCUCCCCCUGGUCCCCAUCCUCACCCUUCUGCCCCACUCGCUGCAUGAUCCCAGGGUCACCAACAAGUCCUGG